rnacentral:rRNA from 1 species
AUUGAACGCUGGCGGCAGGCCUAACACAUGCAAGUCGAACGAGUGGCGGACGGGUGAGUAAUGUCUGGGAAACUGCCUGAUGGCGGGGGAUAACAACUGGAAACGGUAGCUAAUACCGCAUAACAUCAAAUGUGCACAGAUGGGAUUAGCUUGUUGGUGGUGUAACGGCGCACAAAGGCGACGAUCCCUAGCUGGUCUGAGAGGAUGACAAGCCACAUGGGAACUGAGAACCGGUCAAGACUCCUACGGGAGGCAGCAGUGGGGAAUAUUGGAAAAUGGGCGAAAGCUGGAUGCAGCCAUGCCGCGUGUAGGAAGAAGGCCUUCGGGUGGAAAAGUACUUUCAGCGGGGAGGCGUUACCCGCAGAAGAAGCACCGGCUAACUCCGUGCCAGCAGCCGCGGUAAUAC